rnacentral:rRNA from 1 species
GACGGAGGAGGCUAGCGUUGUUCGGAAUUACUGGGCGUAAAGCGCACGUAGGCGGCUCGUUAAGUCGGAUGUGAAAGCCCGGGGCUUAACCCCGGAACAGCAUCCGAAACUGGCGAGCUCGAGACCGGGAGAGGAGAGUGGAAUUCCCAGUGUAGAGGUGAAAUUCGUAGAUAUUGGGAAGAACACCUGUGGCGAAGGCGGCUCUCUGGUCCGGUACUGACGCUCAAGUGCGAAAGCGUGGGGAGCAAACAGGAUUAGAUACCCGGGUAGU